rnacentral:tRNA from 1 species
AAGGGAGACCUAAUUCCGGUAGGAGACGAAAAAAAAGUAGUCCCAACCAAGAAUCAAUCCCAAAAGGUCGGAGCGAGGUAUGAGGCUUUCAAACUAGGUUCUGGGUCCAUAAAAGACCUGAAUCAGGAACAAGGGCUAUUAGCUCAGGUGGUUAGAGCGCACCCCUGAUAAGGGUGAGGUCCCUGGUUCGAGUCCAGGAUGGCCCACCUGCACAGGUGGCAAAAACAAGAGAAGCUCCGAAUCAGCACCUUAUCUUAUAUACAUAUAUAAGAGAGAAUGCUGGCUCUGAGUACAGAGUCCAGAGGAACCUUGAAAACUGCAUAGAGCUAGGUGAAAAAGCCAAAAAAGAAGACCGCAA